GCAAGUUCUGUUUUGGUCCCAGAGGUUAAUGCAGUCGUAGCCUUUUAUGGGGUUCCUUCACCAGAGCUUGCUGAUCCUGUUAAUGCUAAGGCCCCUGUGCAAGCUCAUUUCGGUGAAGAUGAUGCUUUUGUUGGGUUUUCAGAUGUAAAGACUGGUAAAGCUCUAGAGGAAAAACUGAAAACAGCAGGAGUUCCACAUGAGGUUUACUUCUAUCCAAAGACUGGACACGCAUUCAUGAACAAGUCACCAGAGGGCGUUGAAAGGAGGCAAAAGAUGGGGAUGCCUGAUGUAGAAGAUGCUGCCGUAGAUCAAGCUUGGUCCCGCUUCCGUUCAUGGAUGAGUCGUUUCUUAUCUGCCUAAGUUUUGUUGCUUGUUUUCUGAUCCUAUAAUAGGCUGUAGCAUGGUUACCAUAAUAAUGUGAUGUGUCUUGAUGCUCCGGGAUGUUCCCUUGAAGCUUGUGUUUGGCAUUCAGUUCCUAUGGUGCACAUAUAAACUGAAUGUUCUGUAGAUUGGACAUAUAUGUGCUCUAUGGGGAUUUUCGAGUAUCCCAAAUGAGUGCACUUGGUUAAUUUCCAGAAGCUUGCAUUUGGCCGUUGG
rnacentral:misc_RNA from 1 species